AACCCACGCAUCCACAGGGAGAACAUGCAAACUCCAUGCAUUCAAGACCCCGGGCUGGGAAUCGAACCCAGGCCUUUCCUUCUGCAACCCAACAGUGCUACAAACUGCGCACUGUGCAGCCCGCUGUUCUUAUUAUUGUUCACUUAAUCCUCUAGAGGGCGCUCUUGAUUAAACAUUGGAGUCAAUAGUAGCAUGUUCAGGGAAAUUAUAGCAGUGUAAAAAAAAGAGAGAGAAAAUCAUUUCCAUUUUUCAUGUGAACGUGAAAGAAACGGAAACAUCAUCUGUCAGAGAACUGACUUUACCUCUUUUAUUAACUCCGAAAAACUAAUGCCAAGCUGAUGGGCUGGGUCUAAAUCAACCCAGACGGGCUUUUCCGCAUUUCAGGGGAAGAAUUUUUUUUAAAAUUAGUUACAGGAAAGGACGUUUGCACGGACUGACAGCACCAUCAAAGUGUCCACUCCUUCUCAAUAGUCAGGUUGUGGGGAUGGUUAUGGCCAUGAGCGGCGUCUCCCUGCUGAUGAAGUACAGACACUACAGCUUGUUUUUUUCUCAGACCUACAUCCUCCUCCCGGUAGUCUUCACGACCUGCAGCGCUGCGUUCUUGCUCUUCACCGGUUUCCUCGUUUGUGUAUCUGCUGGUUGUGAUCUUUUGCUUGGGAAGCACGGCCUCUGCUCUGGCCUACGUCCACUCCAGAAAGUUGGAUUCCGACACAGCGUCUCUCAGCGAGGUGUUUCAGAA